AAGAAAAAGAAAAAAGAUUUCAACUUAUCGGUAGAGGAUUUCGGUACUCUGUGUACGUAGCUGUGUCCUUUUUUUGUUUGCUUGUGGUUCUCUUCUUUGUCUUCUCAUACCCCAACGCCGUUCUCUCCCUAAACUCUUCCCCUUCAUUCUCUCUCCUCUAGGCUCCUCGCUUUCGUCUUUUCGUUCUAAGCCCUUUUAUUUUUGCCUUAGCAGUGUUUUCUAUUCGAUUCUUCACGGUUCUUAUCCACAAUUUUUGGAUGUCACUCUCACCGAAGCUCUCUUCCUUCCGAAAUCAGAUUUGGGGUUUGUUUUUUGCAUGGACUUUGGGGCUGAAGCUCUCCUUCUGAAAUCAGGCUUGUUCUUUCAUUCUCAUCCUUUUUUUAUUCUGAAUCUUUGUUUCAUGUUUUUUAUUUCUUUUUUGGCAUGUUUGUUUUCUGAACAAAAAUGUGCGGGUUUCAUUUUUUUUUUAUUUUCAUAUCAUUGUGAUAUUGCCUUUUUAUUUUUUCUUUAAUUGAUCCUGUUUGGUGGGGUGUUCUCUGUUCUGUUUUGUAAGAGAUAAGGCUUGCGAUUUGGAUUUGGUCAUAUUUUUAGUUUUCAUGUCAUUUUUUUAUUCUGUUUUUUAAUUGAUUUGAUGGUUUGUUUUUCUGCAGAUAGUUUGGAAUAAAAUGAAGGCUAUUUUUGAAUUUGAAAUAUUUACUACAUUAUUCAGUUGAAGGAUUUUAUCACAAAAACAAAAAAUCUAUUUAAAGCAAAUUAUAAGAAAUAUUCGAUUAAUUUUUCUAAAUAUAGAUUCUUUUACCUUUUUAUUAAUCAUGUGAAGCUAUUAAAUUUUUAUUAUGCAUGAACAUUUACCGAAUGUUGCAAAACUUGUCCUAAACAAGUUUAUUAGAACUAUCAAUAUGAUAAACUUGUAUUAAAUUAUAGUGUAUUUUGAACUAACUUUUUUAUUUUAUAGUCUAUGCAAAUAUGUAAUUAUUAUACUCUAUUUAAUUAUUAUUAUCUAAAAAUAUUUGUUAGAAUUCACAUUUUUUCCUUUGCAUUAAAUUAUUGAUUGGUUAAUUUUUUUUAUAAAAAGCAUUAUUUUUCUAAAAAUUCCAUUUCACCCAACUAGGCAAACGUGCUUUGCAUGUUGUUCUGUCCUAAUAUUAUACAUAUACUAGUAAAGGAGUAAUGUGCAAAGCAAGUUUGUCCGGUUGGGUUAAUUGGUUAUUUUAGGGAAAAAUAAUACUUUUCAUAAAAAUUUGAUCAUAAUAAAAAAUUUAAUGAAUAGGGAAGAAAAUAUAAAAUCUAUCAAAUUUUUUUAGAUAACAGUAGUUAAGUUGGAUUAUAAAAGUUAUAUGUUUGUAGAAAUAAGAAAAAAAAGGAAAAUGUUAGUUUAUAAUUCAAUAUAGAAUAAUGCAGAUUCAUCAUGUUAGUUUUGGCAUAUUUGUUUACGACAAAUUUAAUUCAAGUUUAUUAAGAAUAUCAAUUUGAAAAGUGUGUAAUUUUUUAAUCAUCAUUGAAGAUGUAGGCCAUGUUGUAUAGGACCAACACAUAUAUUCAUCCUUGGAGCCGGCCCUAGGAGAGUUAGAGAGAGACUCUCACUUCUCUCUAGAAACACCUCCGAAACCAGACCUGCACGCAAAGCUCUUCCCUCCUUCCUCCCUCUCUUUUCUCUCUCAUUAUCUUCUUUUCUUUUUAUUUAUUUAUUUUUUGUCAUUUUUCAAGGUAAAGUACGGUGGAACCGUGGAAGGCUGAUUUGUUGUUCUCUAACAUCCGACGACCACAAUGCGCCCAUUCUCAAAGUUUCCAAUGCGUGAUCUUUCAUACGAGAGAAAAAUUUUGCUAAAAGAACUCACGUGCGGUCCAAAGAGAGCGUGUGAAACCCACACGCUUCUGCUGGAGGUGUUCUUCUGCCUCCACGCGGGGCUGUUCUGAGUCUAGAGCCACCGGUCACUUCAGAUCUGAUUGACCUCCAUACCCCCAAGAUAGUGUGUGGCUUUCACGCACAAUCAAAUAGUUUUGUUUGUUUUUAUUUUCCUCCAAUAUUGAAGACGCGGAUCUACAACUUUUGAAGUUGUAAUUUAUUAUUUUUUUAUGUAUUUUUAAUUUAUGUAAUAUCUUUUGUUUUAGAAAAAUUAAAAAAAAAAUACAUUGUUUUUUGGACUUAUGUCCAUAGAGUAUGUCCUCUAUUUCGCCUUAAACGGAAUAUCAGGUUUAUUUCACUUUGUCUUAGAUAGAGCUAGGCGACUGUCUCCAGACUGUGGGUCUGUGGAGAUAUGCAGCUUGGAUUAGACCAUGUUAGUAUAGUUAUGUAUUGAAAAGCUAUUAAUGUUGUAAUUAGCUUGUAAUGUACUUUUAAUGUUGGAGUUGUAAUGAUUAAUGAAUGCACUAUCUUUUAUCAAA